UACAGAGGGUGCGAGCGUUAAUCGGAAUUACUGGGCGUAAAGCGUGCGCAGGUGGUUGUGUAAGCUUGAUGUGAAAUCCCCGGGCUCAACCUGGGAAUGGCAUUGAGGACUGCACGGCUAGAGUGUGGCAGAGGGGGGUGGAAUUCCGCGUGCAGCAGUGAAAUGCGUAGAGAUGCGGAGGAACACCGAUGGCGAAGGCAGCCCCCUGGGCUAACACUGACACUCAUGCACGAAAGCGUGGGGAGCAAACAGG
rnacentral:rRNA from 1 species